rnacentral:rRNA from 1 species
UACGAAGGGGGCUAGCGUUGCUCGGAAUUACUGGGCGUAAAGCGCACGUAGGCGGAUUGUUAAGUCGGGGGUGAAAUCCUGGAGCUCAACUCCAGAACUGCCUUCGAUACUGGCGAUCUCGAGUUCGGGAGAGGUGGGUGGAACUGCGAGUGUAGAGGUGAAAUUCGUAGAUAUUCGCAAGAACACCAGUGGCGAAGGCGGCUCACUGGCCCGAUACUGACGCUGAGGUGCGAAAGCGUGGGGAGCAAACAGG